UACGGAGGGUGCGAGCGUUAAUCGGAAUUACUGGGCGUAAAGCGCGCGUAGGUGGUCUUUUAAGUGGGAUGUGAAAGCCCAGGGCUCAACCUUGGAAUUGCAUUCCAAACUGAAAGACUGGAGUACGAUAGAGGGAGGUAGAAUUCAGAGUGUAGCGGUGAAAUGCGUAGAUAUUCUGAGGAAUACCAGUGGCGAAGGCGGCCUCCUGGAUCGAUACUGACACUGAGGCGCGAAAGCGUGGGGAGCAAACAGG
rnacentral:misc_RNA from 1 species